UACGUAGGGGGCAAGCGUUGUCCGGAUUUAUUGGGCGUAAAGAGCUCGUAGGCGGUUUGGUAAGUCUGGUGUGAAAUCUCCACGCUCAACGUGGAGGGGCCACCCGAUACUGCCAUGACUGGAGUCCGGUAGAGGAGUGUGGAAUUCCCGGUGUAGCGGUGAAAUGCGCAGAUAUCGGGAGGAACACCCGGUAGCGAAGGCGGCACUCUGGGCCGGUACUGACGCUGAGGAGCGAAAGCGUGGGGAGCAAACAGG
rnacentral:rRNA from 1 species